rnacentral:lncRNA from 1 species
GGGCACUUUCUUCCUGCGGCCGUGGAGAGAAGCCAGGCUGCCGUCCUGGCCAGUGCGGCUUCCUCUACUUUUUUUUUUUCCCCCUUCUUUUCAUCCCACGCAUCACAUGGGUUGGGCUCCCUACGUUGGGGACCUGGCUUACUCGACGCUCAUCAUCAUAGGUCUGACACUUAGUCGAUGUAGCUAUCCCCACCUCAGGGCAACAAGACUCGGGCUGGCAGACAGACUGGGGAAGCCAACCUGCUUCCUGCUGUGCAUGGCAGGAUCCUGGCAAACGGCAUAUGGCAAAUGCUCACACAAAAUGUGCUGGCUUGAUCAGACCAAUAUGCUCCUGUCAAGAGCAGCAGAACUCGUAGACUCAGGGUGCAUUCUAUCCAGGUUCCUAAACUGAGCUUGGAAGGAAGAGGAAAGAGCUGCAGAGGCGGAGACUCUGACCCCAAAGCGAUCGAGGGCCCUCCCCUGGCUUCCGUGUCCCUGUGGCAGGCGGUGGUGGUCGAAAUCUCUGCCCCUCAGAGUCCUGGGGAGGAUGGAUGGAACAGGAGGAGCAUCAUGAGAAGGCUUCCUGUAAACUACGGAGGGUGCUCGUGGAAGCCAGCAGAGGGUGUAGGGUCUCCUGGAGCCACAUCUCUGGAGUUACAUGAAGUUGUGGACCUCUCAACAUGGGUUCUGGGAACUGAACCCAGGUCCUCUGGAAGGACAUCGAGUGCUCUUAACCACUGAGCCAUCUCUGCAGCCUAACCCCAUCCCUUGGAGGCUGAAGCAAAGCAAGUUCAAUGACCGUGCGACCUGGCUCUUGUUUGGGCCUAAGGAAAAGCCGACUGUAAGCCGGGAAGCAUCUCUGGCAAGAACAAGGAAGGAUUAAGCACGUCUGUGGUUGUGCGCAGGGAUCACAAGGUGCUCCUGCAGUGGGAAGAGCCACCACUAGGGGCGCUCCAAGUCUUGUAUUUUCUACCUUGAAAACUCGUUUCCCUGUGGCUGCCCUCCAAAUCCAACGGAGAUGAAUGGCUUUUAGUUUACCUAGCUGAUUUAAUAAACUUUAAAAAUAAA